CGUAUCACCCAAGACAACUUUACGGAGUUGACGAUUGACGGAGCGAAGCGACGUCAAAGCGUUCAUUAAAGUCGAGUUGGCUUAGGGAUACGUUCGUUGGGUAGGGGAGCGUUCUGUAAGCCUGUGAAGGUGUGUCGUGAGGCAUGCUGGAGGUAUCAGAAGUGCGAAUGCUGACAUAAGUAACGAUAAAGCGGGUGAAAAGCCCGCUCGCCGGAAGACCAAGGGUUCCUGUCCAACGUUAAUCGGGGCAGGGUGAGUCGACCCCUAAGGCGAGGCCGAAAGGCGUAGUCGAUGGGAAACGGGUUAAUAUUCCCGUACUUGGUGUUACUGCGAAGGGGGGACGGAGAAGGCUAUGUUGGCCGGGCGACGGUUGUCCCGGUUUAAGCGUGUAGGUGUGUGUUCCAGGUAAAUCCGGUUCACUUUAACACUGAGGCGUGACGACGAGGCACUACGGUGCUGAAGCAACAAAUGCCCUGCUUCCAGGAAAAGCCUCUAAGCAUCAGGUAACACGAAAUCGUACCCCAAACCGACACAGGUGGUCAGGUAGAGAAUACCAAGGCGCUUGAGAGAACUCGGGUGAAGGAACUAGGCAAAAUGGUGCCGUAACUUCGGGAGAAGGCACGCUGACACGUAGGUGAAGUGAUUUACUCAUGGAGCUGAAGUCAGUCGAAGAUACCAGCUGGCUGCAACUGUUUAUUAAAAACACAGCACUGUGCAAACACGAAAGUGGACGUAUACGGUGUGACGCCUGCCCGGUGCCGGAAGGUUAAUUGAUGGGGUCAGCGUAAGCGAAGCUCCUGAUCGAAGCCCCGGUAAACGGCGGCCGUAACUAUAACGGUCCUAAGGUAGCGAAAUUCCUUGUCGGGUAAGUUCCGACCUGCACGAAUGGCGUAAUGAUGGCCAGGCUGUCUCCACCCGAGACUCAGUGAAAUUGAACUCGCUGUGAAGAUGCAGUGUACCCGCGGCAAGACGGAAAGACCCCGUGAACCUUUACUAUAGCUUGACACUGAACAUUGAGCCUUGAUGUGUAGGAUAGGUGGGAGGCUUUGAAGUGUGGACGCCAGUCUGCAUGGAGCCGACCUUGAAAUACCACCCUUUAAUGUUUGAUGUUCUAACGUGGACCCGUAAUCCGGGUUGCGGACAGUGUCUGGUGGGUAGUUUGACUGGGGCGGUCUCCUCCUAAAGAGUAACGGAGGAGCACGAAGGUUGGCUAAUCCUGGUCGGACAUCAGGAGGUUAGUGCAAUGGCAUAAGCCAGCUUGACUGCGAGCGUGACGGCGCGAGCAGGUGCGAAAGCAGGUCAUAGUGAUCCGGUGGUUCUGAAUGGAAGGGCCAUCGCUCAACGGAUAAAAGGUACUCCGGGGAUAACAGGCUGAUACCGCCCAAGAGUUCAUAUCGACGGCGGUGUUUGGCACCUCGAUGUCGGCUCAUCACAUCCUGGGGCUGAAGUAGGUCCCAAGGGUAUGGCUGUUCGCCAUUUAAAGUGGUACGCGAGCUGGGUUUAGAACGUCGUGAGACAGU
rnacentral:rRNA from 1 species